GGGGUGUUAGUNNNCCAAUUACAUGGCCCUGUCAAAGCCAAACCAUAGGUGAAACCCCUAUACACCCCU
rnacentral:tRNA from 1 species